rnacentral:rRNA from 1 species
UACGGAGGGUGCAAACGUUGUUCGGAAUUACUGGGCAUAAAGAGCACGUAGGCGGUUCGCUAAGUUGGGUGUGAAAGCCCCCGGCUCAACCGGGGAAUUGCUCCCGAUACUGGCGGACUAGAGGUCGGUAGGGGUGAGUGGAACUCCAGGUGGAGCGGUGAAAUGCGUAGAUAUCUGGAGGAACACCGGUGGCGAAAGCGGCUCACUGGACCGAAACUGACGCUGAGGUGCGAAAGCUAGGGUAGCGAACGGG